AUAGGGGAGCCGCAGGGAAACCGAGUCUUAAUUGGGCGUUAAGUUGCAGGGUAUAGACCCGAAACCCGGUGAUCUAGCCAUGGGCAGGUUGAAGGUUGGGUAACACUAACUGGAGGACCGAACCGACUAAUGUUGAAAAAUUAGCGGAUGACCUGUGGCUGGGGGUGAAAGGCCAAUCAAACCGGGAGAUAGCUGGUUCUCCCCGAAAGCUAUUUAGGUAGCGCCUCGUGAACUCAUCUCCGGGGGUAGAGCACUGUUUCGGCUAGGGGGUCAUCCCGACUUACCAACCCGAUGCAAACUGCGAAUACCGGAGAAUGUUAUCACGGGAGACACACGGCGGGUGCUAACGUCCGUCGUGAAGAGGGAAACAACCCAGACCGCCAGCUAAGGUCCCAAAGUCAUGGUUAAGUGGGAAACGAUGUGGGAAGGCCCAGACAGCCAGGAUGUUGGCUUAGAAGCAGCCAUCAUUUAAAGAAAGCGUAAUAGCUCACUGGUCGAGUCGGCCUGCGCGGAAGAUGUAACGGGGCUAAACCAUGCACCGAAGCUGCGGCAGCGACACUGUGUGUUGUUGGGUAGGGGAGCGUUCUGUAAGCCUGUGAAGGUGUGUCGUGAGGCAUGCUGGAGGUAUCAGAAGUGCGAAUGCUGACAUAAGUAACGAUAAAGCGGGUGAAAAGCCCGCUCGCCGGAAGACCAAGGGUUCCUGUCCAACGUUAAUCGGGGCAGGGUGAGUCGACCCCUAAGGCGAGGCCGAAAGGCGUAGUCGAUGGGAAACGGGUUAAUAUUCCCGUACUUGGUGUUACUGCGAAGGGGGGACGGAGAAGGCUAUGUUGGCCGGGCGACGGUUGUCCCGGUUUAAGCGUGUAGGCUGGUUUUCUAGGCAAAUCCGGAAAAUCAAGGCUGAGGCGUGACGACGAGGCACUACGGUGCUGAAGCAACAAAUGCCCUGCUUCCAGGAAAAGCCUCUAAGCAUCAGGUAACACGAAAUCGUACCCCAAACCGACACAGGUGGUCAGGUAGAGAAUACCAAGGCGCUUGAGAGAACUCGGGUGAAGGAACUAGGCAAAAUGGUGCCGUAACUUCGGGAGAAGGCACGCUGACACGUAGGUGAAGUGAUUUACUCACGGAGCUGAAGUCAGUCGAAGAUACCAGCUGGCUGCAACUGUUUAUUAAAAACACAGCACUGUGCAAACACGAAAGUGGACGUAUACGGUGUGACGCCUGCCCGGUGCCGGAAGGUUAAUUGAUGGGGUCAGCGCAAGCGAAGCUCCUGAUCGAAGCCCCGGUAAACGGCGGCCGUAACUAUAACGGUCCUAAGGUAGCGAAAUUCCUUGUCGGGUAAGUUCCGACCUGCACGAAUGGCGUAAUGAUGGCCAGGCUGUCUCCACCCGAGACUCAGUGAAAUUGAACUCGCUGUGAAGAUGCAGUGUACCCGCGGCAAGACGGAAAGACCCCGUGAACCUUUACUAUAGCUUGACACUGAACAUUGAGCCUUGAUGUGUAGGAUAGGUGGGAGGCUUUGAAGCGUGGACGCCAGUCUGC
rnacentral:rRNA from 1 species